AUACGGGGGUUGCAAGCGUUAAUCGGAAUUACUGGGCGUAAAGCGCGCGUAGGCGGUUUGCUCAGUCGGAUGUGAAAGCCCAGGGCUCAACCUUGGAACUGCAUACGAUACUGGCAAACUAGAGUGUGAGAGAGGAUAGUGGAAUUUCCGGUGUAGCGGUGAAAUGCGUAGAUAUCGGAAGGAACAUCAGUGGCGAAGGCGACUGUCUGGCUCAACACUGACGCUGAGGUGCGAAAGCGUGGGUAGCAAACAGGAUUAGAUACCCCAGUAGUCC
rnacentral:rRNA from 1 species